GGAGUUGUAGCUCAGCGGUAGAGCACUCACCUAGCACGUGUGAGGCCUUGGGUUCCAUCCUCAGCACCA
rnacentral:tRNA from 1 species